ACCAAUUUACAAAAUAUCUAUCCAUCCUUAUCCCUCCACCAAUCCGUUCCUAUCCUCACUCUGUCGACAUCCCUCUCACUCUUUUCUUUUUCUUUUUUUAUUCUCAACUUGCUGCAGCUCAUUCUCACCACUCACAUCUUCAUUAAUUCUUUUCUUCUUCUUAUAUAUAUAUAUGCAUUCUUUCCUCACUAAAGCAGCACACCUUUCCAUUCUCUCUACUUCCUCCAACGUGAGUUACAUCACCAGACCAUGUUCUUGUUCUUUCUUUCUUCCUCUUUUUUUUCCUUCUUCCCAUCACGUUGCAGCACCCACACUCACCACAUGAACCACCACCUUCACGUUUUCUUCCUCUCCAUGGCAGCACCUCACCAUCACCACCGCCCCUCCUCCUCACCAUGGCUGUUAUGUCCAGCCAAGAGGCCACCACGAGGAGGCCAGCACCACAAGGAACACGUACAGCCCCAUUCAUCAUAUGGUAUUGUUCAAGCCUCAUCAUCCAUAUCAUGACAAGGAGACACCAUCACCAUGCCACUUUACUUCCUCAUGUGGGUACGGACAACGGGAACGCUUGGCGACGAAACCAAUGAACUAAAAAGGAAGCGAGCCGGCACCGGGAAGCAAGGAUGUGAUUGGAUUGUAGUUGCAGUUUAGGAAGGGAAUUGGCUAAGGCGAUGGAGAAUCUUCGAAGGAGCUUAACCCUUGUGCAAGUAGAGAUGAGGACUUGAAGGACAGUGGAGUACUCGAUGAGUAGAGUCGGGUUUAAGGCUAGAGCCUUGGGUUAGAGAGCUUACCGUUAUUGGUUUAAGCUUACAUAAAGAUUUUAGGAAUUUAUACUUGAGGUUUCGGGUAGGUUCCGAUGCAUUGCUUUCUUGCGGUUCCCCGGUGUGGAGAUCGUAGGGAGUAGGUCGGAUUAGGGUGUCGUGGCAUAACAGAUUCCUUGUUGGAUCUGAUUUCAUUCGUUAUAUUUGUAGUUAUGUCCUUUCGUUCAUACAUUCGGGAACUUGACUUGGUCAAGGCUUGAUGUAGAUUUUAUUUACUGUUGGGUGUAGGCAAUACAUGUUUUGAAAAACAAUUCAAAAGGAAAAAAAAAUUACUCACUUUAUAAAUUCAUUUGGAAAA